rnacentral:rRNA from 1 species
UACGAAGGGGGCUAGCGUUGUUCGGAAUCACUGGGCGUAAAGGGCGCGUAGGCGGCUUUGUAAGUCGGGGGUGAAAGCCUGUGGCUCAACCACAGAAUUGCCUUCGAUACUGCAUGGCUUGAGACCGGAAGAGGUAAGUGGAACUGCGAGUGUAGAGGUGAAAUUCGUAGAUAUUCGCAAGAACACCAGUGGCGAAGGCGGCUCACUGGCCCGAUACUGACGCUGAGGUGCGAAAGCGUGGGGAGCAAACAGG